rnacentral:rRNA from 1 species
CGAGGAUUCCUCUAGUAACGGCGAGUGAAUGGGGAAAAGCCCAGCGCUGAAUCCAUUGGCCACUGGUCGCUUGGAAUUGUAGCGUAUAGGUGCGGUUGUCCGUUUGUUUCGCGCACCCAAAGUCCCCUUGAGUGGGGCUAUAGUCCAAAGAAGGUGCUAGACCUGUACGGGUGGCGAGACGAUCGGUUGAUUGCUCCUUGGAGUCGGGUUGCCUGGGAUCGCAGCCCAAAGUUGGUGGUAGACCUCAUCUAAGGCUAAAUAUGGCCACGAAACCGAUAGCAAACAAGUACCGUGAGGGAAAGUUGCAAAGAACUUUGAAGAGAGAGUUCAAGAGGGCGUGAAACCGCUGAGAUUGAAACGGAUAGAGUUGACUUAACUCGGCUGCAUUCAUCCGGUCGGUCUAGCGGUCCAAUGGUUUUGACUUCCUCGAAGAGGGCGAAGCCGUCGGCAACUGUUGGGCAUUUGAUCGGUGUAUUUGCGGCUGGUAUGCGCUGAGAGCUUUGCGAUCGCGUGUUGACAAACGUGCAGUGGACCAUUCCUUCCGGGCGUGGAAACCUUCGCGCUUUGAGACAUGUCGGUUGUAAGGUUUUGAAGAUGGCGUCUCCGCUAUGGUGCGUCAGCUUUUUCGAGCUGUUGUGGCUGCUGGAUGGUCGCAUGCGACUAUCUGCAGUCAUCGAUGGUGCGAGAUGAGUGUGGACGCGGCGAGGCGUUGAUCUCGGUGUGAACGUCGACCACCUAUCCGA